CUCACCCCCUGGCAGGAGGAGAGAUGCUGGCCCGUGUUAUUCUCAUUUUCCACAACACAGGAUUCUAGGCAGGGCCGGGAAUGCUCGACUCGGGGCAGCGGCCUUUGGCACCCUCCUCCCCCAGACCUCCCGCCCCCCCAACAGCACCCCAGCAGGGCAGCAGCUCCAUCCUGCGGGUGGCACACCGGGAGAUCCUGGGCCUGGCAUCACCACAUCCUUACAGUUCAGCGGAUCCCAAGGCAUGCAGCGGAGGGAGGCACCAUGAGGCUUUGUUGGCCUCUGGGGCUGGCUGGGAACAUCUCUGAUGAUGAUUCACCGGGAAGUCAGUAGUCAUCUCCUCUGUUUCGCAAAGAGGGGGGACUGGCAACACCGCAGGGUGACCUGCCUGAAGCCACAGAAGGAAGAGGAAUAACUGGGAGGAAAAACUCGAGCUGAAAAUCUGCAGCUGAGGUUGAAGGCCUGAGGCUCGUGAGCUGUUCUGGAAAGGGCUCGGCUCUCCCAGCGAAGGGCUUGUGUGACGUGACCAUGGUUCUCAGUGGAGCCCUGAGCAUCCAGGAGCUUCUCCAGGCCCUGUGGUCUCCCUCUGGCCAGGCCUGCAGACUUGCCCUUAGGCACAAAUCCCUGCCAGUAGUUCCCUUGCAGGCCAGCUCCUAGGAAAGAGGCCCACAGCCCAGACACUUUGCCCAGGUGGCUGGCAGCUCAGGAACUGGUAAGACUGGUUUCCAGUGCUGGCUCCGGGUGGGCAGAAGGCAGAGCUGCUGCUACCAAUUUAAAGGAGACUAGAAAAGCUUCUGGAAUCUACAACGCAGCCUACUGGCCACCUCCCCUGGACAUUCAACCCCUAGGAUAUGAUCCUGUAAGACGGUGACCUCUUUGUUAAACCAUCUGGGAAUAAAUUGUGUAGGAAUUUAUCCGACAUCCCCUUAGAGAAUUACCAGGGGUCUGAUUUUACUCCAAACCACUUGCUUUCGUCUCAGAAAAAGUUAAGACCACGAAGUAUUUUUAAACGGAUUUUCCCUGUUGGAUUCGAUGCUUAUAAGAAUCAGUUAUAAAAACUCUACACUCUACGUGAGACAGUUUAUUCUUCAGUGAAGACAAGGAAGCUCUAAGAAGAACACUGGGCCGCGGGAGGAAGGCUGGGCCGCCAGAGCGCAGGAAGCAUGGGAAGGAAGCACAGCGUGGAGGGGGAGUGCUGGGGACCCCAGCUGCCCGCAGCGUGGGGUUGGCUGGGUCCCUCGCCCUCUGCCCACUGCGCCGCUGAGCCUCAUCCUUCUCUCCCUCUUCACCCUGGUCUGUGCUGGCAGAUGCUCCUGCCAAAGCUUACUUCAUCGGAUGAAAUGAAGGGGAAAUCUGAUUUGCCACUAAUUGGACUUACUGUAGGCAAUUAAGGUUAAACUGACAUGAAGGGACUAUCAGACACUGGGAUUUUCAGUGUUUUUCUUUACAUUCCUGGGAACUUUUUCCAGAAUCUAAGUGAUUAUAAAUUGGGAUACUGAAUGCGGUAUCAGGGUCUGAAAUCACUUUAAGUCAGGACCCUGGAAGUAGUGUAUGCGUUCUCGUUGUGUAAGGUGACAUACACUGUACGUAUACAUGGUCUGUAUAAGGUUUAUGGGGUGUGUGUGCAUAAGAAUAUAUGCAGUAUAUAUAUAUAUAUAUAUAUAUAUAUAUAUAUAUAGUACAUGGGGUGUAUCUCUGUGGGGUGAGCUGGAUUUUUCUCUCUCUCUAGGUAAACAAGAGUGUUUAAUAA